rnacentral:rRNA from 1 species
AUUCCAGCUCCAAUAGCGUAUAUUAAAGUUGUUGCAGUUAAAACGCUCGUAGUCGGAUUUCGGGGCGGGCCGACCGGUCUGCCGAUGGGUAUGCACUGGCCGGCGCGUCCUUCCACCCGGAGACCGCGCCUACUCUUAACUGAGCGGGCGCGGGAGACGGGUCUUUUACUUUGAAAAAAUCAGAGUGUUUCAAGCAGGCAGUCGCUCUUGCAUGGAUUAGCAUGGGAUAAUGAAAUAGGACUCUGGUGCUAUUUUGUUGGUUUACGGACCGAUGUAAUGAUUAAUAGGAGCAGUUGGGGACAUUUAUAUUCCAUGGCUAGAGGUGAAAUUCUUGGAUUCAUGGAUGAUAAACUAUUGCGAAAGCAUUUGUCAAAGAUGUUUUCAUUG